UCCAGUAUUCUUGCUUGGAGAAUCCAGUGGACAGAGGGGCCUAACAGGCUACAGUCCAUUGGAUUGCAAAAGAGUCAGACACAGCUUAACAACUAAACAACAAAAACAGAAUUCCCCAGGUCCCAGGCAUCACCCAUUUGUUUCGUGUUUAAAUAACCUGUCAUCUAUAUCCUAGAUUCCCUGUGAUUCAUUCACUACAGUAUGCACUCAUAGUAUGCGAUCAACUGAUACAGGGGGGUUAAAGCUGUGGAUUGCGUGAUCCAUUUCUUAAUGUGAUAUACACUGUGAAAAGGCAACUGCAGUAAAAGGGAGGUUGAUUUAAGAGGCUCCCUGGGCAACAAGAGCCACAAUUUCCAAAUGUGCCAAAAAUUCAUUAGGGCUCCAUGUCAGAUUGCUGCACUCUCUGUAGCAAUGGUUUAAUAAACACAGUGAUGCACUGUUCUAAAGGCUGCAAAGACAUGUUGUGGAUAUUUGAUAUGAGCAGUGUCUUCUUCCCAUGAUCAUAUUCUUCUCCUGUAGAAUUAUCCAUGUUUCCUGAUUUGUCUUAAUGAUACCUGAAGGACUUUGCAAACAAUCUGCCUAUGGUAGAAAAUGUUGAAAUAAAUCACAGAGGCUAUCAACCACAGUCCAGGCUUGGUGUGAUUGGGAGAAGAGUUUGGACUUCUUUCUCAGUUUAUAAAAGAUAAUGAGAAAAUGGCACAAGGAAAUUAGCUAGGGCUUGCUGCUUCAGAAGACACCUCAUGGGAAUGAUUUGUCUGGACAAGGUUAGCAACCCAUGGGUUUGCCAUCUGUGUGUCCUAGGAAUGGUGGAGUAAAUAUUGGCUCCCGGGCUUAGCUGCUUCACUGUGUUUCCUUUGGUUUCUCUAGUUUAUAGAUUUCCAGCUUGAAAGAGUUGAUCGUGGAGAAAGAGUCUUUGCUAAAUAAAACAGACCUUAAAGAAUUUUGAGGAUUUCACAUUAAUAAUAGUUAAUAUUUACUGAAAGAUUAUGUGUUAGGUAUUGUGUUACAUUAUUUAAUCUAAUCCUUGUAAUGAGCUUAUGGAAUAGUUAUUUUUAUCGCCAUUUCACAAAUAAUGAAAUUUUAUAAAGUUGCUUAUAUAAUUUACCCCACAUUCUCACAGCUAAUGCCAAGCCAGUCAGAUAAAACCCCAGAGAUCAUUUUCUUAGUCUUCAUAGCUUGGCUGCCUCUAAUGGUGAUCUUCUUUGAUUCUUCCUUGAUUCCUUUCUCUCCUGACUCUCUAAGCUUCCUUAUAGGAAUUAUCUCCUAGCUUUGAAUUUUCAUUCUGUCUCCUGGGAACUGAUCUCAUCUGGUGGCUCUGGUACAAAGAGAUCACUUUUUUGACUUGAUCAACUUUGAUCCAACAUUUUAUUAUUUUCAAAAGCAGCUCCUAUGUGGCUGUGCCUGCCUUCUUGGGCAGAGGACAAUCCCAGAGGGCUGAUUUAUUAUUUAAUCUUGUAUACACAUAUUUUCACUUAGUAUCCAUAACACAAGAAACUUUGCAAUGGCAAAUCAUAAGGCCUGUCCAGUUCCAGUUGGCAGAGAGUUGAAUGUAAUAUGGCAGAUAUUAUUUCCUAACAACAAUUCUUCCUUCUUCUGUGGUAAUAUAGUAUCUAAUAUUAAAUGAGGUACAUGGCUUCUUAGAGGAAGACUACAUUUCCCAUACUCCCUUUGUGCCACAUAUAGUCACAUGACUGAGUUAAAGCCAAUGGGAUGUGAGAAGUAACAUUGUGGUAUAUGCAGACAAAGGAAGAUACAUGUUAUCUUCAUCUACCUUUUUUUUUUUUUUUUUUUUUUUUGCUUCUGGAUGACUGGAAUGUGGAUGUGAUAGUGAGCUCCUUCAGACUAUGCAGACAAGAGUAGCAAUGCCCUAGGAAAUGCAGAGCAACAGGAGCUGGGUCCCUGGACCUGAUGGAGCAGAGUUACCACAUUAGGGAGUAGACUGUUUACCGUCAGACUCUUAUGAGACGGAAAUAACUCUCUGCCUCCUACAUACAAGGCUAACUUAUUUGAAAUAACAGUGAUUGACUCCAUGCCCUAUCAUAACCAAGUCCUUCCCAUCCUUUUCAGAAUCUUUUUUAAUCUAUAAGGCACUCCAAAGACAUAUAGAGGAUAUAAGAAAAAAAAACUUUGAAAAAUACAACACAGAUUAGGUCUAGGAGACUAUUUUUGCAAAAAAAAAAAAAAAAAAAAUCAUUUUUCCCCAA